AUGGCGUUCAAGGGGAUAACAGUGCCGCCCAAGGACCAGUUCACCGCGGAGCCGACGACCCUGGAGGUGACCGUGCUGUCAGCGGAGGAGGUCGUCCUCAAGGAGCUCCUGCGCCGCCCGCUGGACCGCGGCGCCUACGCCGUGGUGCACAUGGAAAGGCCGGACGGGACGUUGUACACGGACAAGCCAACCCCGCGCACCGGAAUCAACGACGAGGACAGCGACUGCAACGGGUACCCCUACUGGGGCGAGGCGGUGCGGGUCACGCUCCCCGCGGGCGUGCCGGCCAUCCACGUGGUGAUCUGCCGCUGGACGGACUCCGUGGCCGCGGCGCGGGUGCCCGUCGCCGACUUCAGCGUCGGCCCGCCGGGCCACCUGCAUUGCCUCAGCUACCGGCUAUUAGACACCGAGUCGGUGACGAAGAGACGCAACGGCAUCGUCAACAUCACUGUCAAGAGGCUCGACGGCGCGCAGGCCAAAGGGAAAGGCGGGAAAGACGUGGAGGAGGCCGCGAGUGGCACUGGUUAUUCCUGCUGUGGUGGUGUCGCCGAGGAGGGGAAGGUGUCGAUCGCCGCGGCUACGGCGGCGGCACCUGCCGGUGCGGUGAUAGGCUAUCCCGUCGAGUUCUAUGCUGCUGGGCAGGCUAAUGGAAAGGGCUCCGUAUAG
rnacentral:rRNA from 1 species